GAGGACCUCUGGCGGCGUGCUUAACACAUGCAAGUCGAACGAAACACCUUAUUUGAUUUUCUUCGGAACUGAAGAUUUGGUGAUUGAGUGGCGGACGGGUGAGUAACGCGUGGGUAACCUACCCUGUACAGGGGGAUAACAGUCAGAAAUGACUGCUAAUACCGCAUAAGACCACAGCACCGCAUGGUGCAGGGGUAAAAACUCCGGUGGUACAGGAUGGACCCGCGUCUGAUUAGCUGGUUGGUGAGGUAACGGCUCACCAAGGCGACGAUCAGUAGCCGGCUUGAGAGAGUGAACGGCCACAUUGGGACUGAGACACGGCCCAAACUCCUACGGGAGGCAGCAGUGGGGAAUAUUGCACAAUGGGGGAAACCCUGAUGCAGCGACGCCGCGUGAGUGAAGAAGUAUCUCGGUAUGUAAAGCUCUAUCAGCAGGGAAGAAAAUGACGGUACCUGACUAAGAAGCCCCGGCUAACUACGUGCCAGCAGCCGCGGUAAUACGUAGGGGGCAAGCGUUAUUCGGAAUUACUGGGUGUAAAGGGUGCGUAGGUGGUAUGGCAAGUCAGAAGUGAAAACCCAGGGCUUAACUCUGGGACUGCUUUUGAAACUGUCAGACUGGAGUGCAGGAGAGGUAAGCGGAAUUCCUAGUGUAGCGGUGAAAUGCGUAGAUAUUAGGAGGAACAUCAGUGGCGAAGGCGGCCUACUGGGCACCAACUGACGCUGAGGCUCGAAAGUGUGGGUAGCAAACAGGAUUAGAUACCCUGGUAGUCCACACUGUAA
rnacentral:rRNA from 1 species